CCAUCCUUUCAUAGGAGUAAGACCCCAUGUAGAACACAUGGUUGAUAGGUUGGAAGUGUAAGCACAGUGAUGUGUUUAGCUGACCAAUACUAAUAGGUCGAGGACUUGA
rnacentral:rRNA from 1 species